CCUUGGCUACUCACCUCCUGUAUUUUAUUAGUACUUUUCAAAAUACAGUCUUUGGGGAGGAAAAACACCUCCCACCAAUGGGCUCACCACACUGAACUUGAACAAGGCACUCAGGGUCCCUCAGUAAGAGAUGGUUAGGAUUACCCCAGCAGCAGAUGGGUAAGUCGAGGCACAGCAGGGCAGGGGCAUGGUGGCCGAUUGCCGGUGGCCCCUGCGCAGGUUCUGGGCCUUGCGUCCCAGUCUGGGUUCUGGCUUCAGCACUUUAUAUUCUGCUGCGGCGGGAACAGCCUAAGAACAGAAACUUGGAGGUGGUCAGUGCAGACCCUUCUGGCCCCAAUGCCCUCUUCACCCAGGGGUGGCCUGGCCUGGCCUGACUGCCCCGACUGCCCCCAACCCCAGGCAGCGGUGGAGGAGAGGGAUGUCACACAGCACAAACGCCGGCGGAGGGGCCACAGGAGUGGGGAGAGCAACCAGGGAUGAAGCAGAGUGGGGUGCGCAGCUCCCGUGUCGGGGCCGGAGCUGGGGCCGAGGCUCCGAGGCGGGACCAAGGGCGCGGGUGGCCGACGGGGCCUGCAAGACCGGCCGAGCACCCCCAGCCCCAGCCCGGCCCGGC
rnacentral:lncRNA from 10 species